AUUACAGGCGUGAGCCACUGCGCCCGGCCUCUGUUAGUGUUUGUAGCAUGAGAUGUCUGGCAGCCCACUCUCGUCUUGCCUUCCAAGGAGGGCCAGAUAGUGUGGUAGGAAAAGCGUGAGACAUGGACUCUGGGAAUCUGGUUUAACACCUUUACUGUGUGUAGUUACCUACCCCAAAUUUAUUAACAAAGAUUCUCUCCUUGACCAAACUUUAGUCAGGCUCCUUUGAGCCCUCUUCUCAAUUAGGCUUUCAACCUUGGCCUGUGAGCAAUGCAAAAUCUCAGCAAAAAUAAUUUUGUCUACCUCUUAUACUAAGAGACUUGAAAAGAAACUAGCUUGGUUUCUAACAACUCAAAGUAAUGUCCCUAGCAUGGCCCAGACUUUGGAGUUCCUGCCUGGGAAAGCUCAAGGCUGCCAGAAAAAUUUAUUGUUUGAGAUUUGCCUGACCCAACACCUGCCUUGCCUAACAGUUCUCAGGAAAGAACUCCCACCUGUUUUUUUGUGAUUUUCCACUGCCCGAUUCUGCUUGUUCCUCCCCACUCCUCUCUCAUUCUUUCCCUAAAAACACCUAGUCGUCUCUGCACAGUUUGGGGUCGAGCUCAGUUUACACCCAAUGUCUCUCUCCCUCACUGCAGUAGUCUGAAUAAAAUCUGUCUUGUGUCUUUAACAAAUGGUGGGCUCUGUUCCUCUUUGACACUACAGUAAGUACUUAUUAACUCACCCAGUUUCAGUGGGCCUUAGCUGGGUAGUUCUGGCCCAAGGUCUGUCAAACUGUAGACUGGGACUGCAGUCACCUGAAGGCGUGGCCAGGGCUGGAGCGUCCACCCCAGAGGCAGCCCACUCGUGUGGCUGAUGACUUGGUGCUGGCUCGUGGCAGGAGGCCUCAGUUCUCACCACAUGAACCUCACCACAGGGCCACUGAAUGUCCUUGUGAUGGUGGCAGCUGGUUCUCCCAGAGUGAAGAGAGAGCAAGGUGAGGGCAGCAAAGUCUUUUGUGACCCAGCCCUGGAAGCCUGACACUGUCCUUUCUUCAGUAUCCUGUUGAUUUCACAAGCCACCCCCACCCCCUGUGGGAGGGGACUCCAAGGCAGGAACCAUUGGGGGCUAUUUUGGAGGCUGGCUGCUGUGACUCUGCUAGUGACCUGUGUCAUGACCUUGGGCAGGUCACCCCAGCUCUCUGGGCUGGAGCAGUAAGGGUGGGCUAGGCUUGGCCUAGGAGGUCCCUCCUGCUUCCUGGGCCUGACUUCACCUCCUACGAAGUGAGAACGCGAUUCGAUGAGCGAAAGAGUUAAUAUGCCUACAGAAGCAUUUCUCACAGAGAGUAACUCAUCUGCCAGGGGCUGGCCCAAUUCCUGGAACUGGGCUGCUUGUUUGGCGGGGGAGGGGUCGCAGCAGCUGUCUGGGUUUCCCACCAUUUCUCCUCUCACUUCCGAGGUCGGGGAGAUGGGAGGGGACAUGAACAGGUGGCUCCAGACUAGGCUGGCUUGGAUCAGCCCUGAUACAAAGACACUAAGGAUUUGGAAAUGAAAAUGCAAGUGGGGGAAAUUGGCAGGCUGCCCUUGGAAGGAGCCGGUCCUAGUUUUGCUCCUUUUAGGAGUUUUGCACCUGAUUAAUGAUUCUGUUCAAGAUGGAUUAAGCGGCUGGAGCCUUUCUCCAUUUAGCAGUGCCAGCUCUUCCCUCCUCUCAGUACUUCUUUUCGCUAGUCCCAGUCUUGCCCACCCCCAGGGAGGUUCCUGGGGCAAACCACUGGUCUAGGAUGCAAUGGGUUUUCUCCUGGGUGGGCACAGAGGCUGGACAGCAGCCCCCAGACUCCUCCCUGGGGGCAGGGACUGAGGAGAGAGCAGGGCCACAACUGCAAGUGAGGGGAGCUCAAGUUCGAAAGCCUCCCGGGCUCCUGAAUCGGAGCUUCUCUUGCCUGCUCACUUGCAGGAGGCAGUUCCUGGCUCUAUUCUACCUUCCGCAGAGAUGACUAGGAAGAAGAAGGGAGCAGGUAACCAAACCAAGAAGUUGAGAGGGAAUUGCUGUUAUUCAAGAUAAAAAAAAAAAAAAUCUGGAAUAUCCAACAUCCUCUGCAGAGGUUAACUUUCCCCCCUUCUUCCGUCCUCUUCUUCCCUUCCUCAAGCAGUCUUUUUUUCUUUUUCUUUUCUUUUGACUAAAGGGGAUACGGAGGGAGUGAAGGAGGGACCGAGGGACUGACUGACACCCCUUAAGCAGUCUUACACAGUGAAUGGCAAAGCCUGGAAAUCAUGGUCUCAGAAUUUGGACCGUCACUGCAGUGGAUCCUGCCUCUUUUCUAUUCUUCCCCUUCCUGCGAGAACAUGCUUUUCACACUCGUUGAUUAGUCAUUUGAAAAACUGCUCCUCCUGUGUGACAGCUGUCAAAGUGAGCAUUUGAUUGGGCCUCAGUUGUCCUGGGGUGACAGAGAACAACACGGAGAUGAGGGAGCUGUCUCCCCCUUCUGUGCACUCCAGUCCCGCCCCGACCCUUUUUAACUCCACUUUGCUCUUGGCUCUGCCUGCCCCUGUCCGCGGCCGGGGCCCCCUAGUCUCCCCUGCCACGUUCCAAGUUGUUCUUUAUUCAGCUGGGACCCAGGGAUCUCCCUCCAGAGAAAGCAGAUCGUUGCUGGCUCCUCCGAGUCCCGGGGUGCCAAGUCCUGCGAGGCCGCGAGAGGCGUCCCGGCACAAUGGCCCUUUAUACCUCUCUGUGUGCUCUUUCCUGGCCCCAGCUGCCCCCAUGCCCUGGUUUUCCUUAGUCUUUUCUUCAGUAUUUUUUUUCCAGUUGACUUAGUUAUUACAGUACAUGGACCUGGGGGGAGAGGCUCUGGAGGCCGGGCCUGGUGCAUGGAUUCUGAGAGCAAGUGUGACUCCCUGGCCCCACCACGACGUCACCAAGAGGUGAUGGGUCACAUUCCUGCAGAGAGGGCCCUGCGCUCACUCUGCUUUCAUGGCAGGGGACAGAUGCAGGGCCUGUCUCCUGAUAGCUGGCUUCCCUGCCAGGGUGCUGGCCCCUGCCAGCCUUGGACGGUUCCACGAACAGCAAGCACUGAGCAACUGAGUGGUGGGGGCGAGGCCAUCAUUCUCAACUCCAGCGUAGGCAUGAAGUACAAUAAAUAAGAUUGGCACAUACAAAAGAGAAAACUGCUGCAAUUAAAGGAAAGGGGCCGAUGUUGGAGUGGAUGAAAGUAGAGCUGCCAAGAUCAGGGACUGGGGGAGGAGGUUUUCAUCCGUGGGUAGGAUCAUGGUGCUGCCACGUGUCACUGUCCUGCCCCGGCCAGCGAGAGCCUCGCCUGCAAGGCAAGACAGAUGCCAGCCGGCUAUCCCCUCACAGAUUUGACUUCCUCCUUCGUUCUUGUUCACGAGGGGUUACUAGAACUUUCAAGAGCUACAUAACGUAAUGUUGACAUGAAACAUCUGCUUUCAAUUUUUAAAAAAUUUUAAACUAAACCCUUUAAAUGUAUAAUCAGAUGACUGGACUUUCAUUUUUAAGGUUCCGGAUUGCACGGGGACAACACAGAAGUCAGUAUGGACACUGAAGGUUGGCCAGAACCAGGACGGCAGAAUUCACUGCCACCGUGGUCUCCCCCUCAUUUGCCUACGCCGCAGUGCGCAUGUGCAGUGCGUGUUGCACGAGGGCUGGGAGCGGGUGACCGCUGUAGACUGCAGUUGGCAGCCUUAGAAGGCGGAGGGUGACUGGGAGCACACUUCAGGUGUGACACUGCUGCUGAAAGCUCCUCCAGAGUGUUAGACACAACAAAAAGCACCACUGCCACCGCCACUCACCAGGACUGGAAAGGCACCUUACUUUGUUGACAUUUGAAAGUGGAACAUUUCCCCUCCCUCAAUCCAGAAGAAACAUUUGUUGAGAGUCUGUGAUGUGCAAAUGUAGCAGAGGGUACAAAGAUGAGAAGAAUGUCUUUGAAGAAAUGUAUAAAUUUGGUGCAGAGGAAGGGGAAGGAGAUGGACAAGGGUGCCUCAUUGAUACACAACUCAGAAUGGGCUCGAUGCCACAGAAGUCCAAAGACACCCUUGGGAAGUGGCCAAGAGAUGAAUGCAUGAGGAUGCUCAGCCAUAGGCACCACUAUGUCCAUGGUGAAAAUAUGGAAAUCCUUCUGCCCUGGGCCUCUGACUGCCCCAUGCCACUGUGGCCCCCUCCCCUGGAACCCACAGGCCUCCCCCAGUCCCAAAACAAUGGGUUAACCCCUGCCAUGGCAGGGACCCUGGAGGCCUGGAGGCCUCCUCUACCUACAGCCAGAGUUCUGAGUAGGUGGUACCUAUGGUGGGUGUCAGUGGUAAAAUGUUUUCAGUGUCACCCCUGGCUGUGUGUGAGGGACAGGGGCUCUGGAAGCUUGCUGGUGUAUGAAGAUGAAGUAAACCUAAUAGAAGAAUGGGGUUUUGACAAGUAGAAAUCAGAGAAGGUGUUCUAGGGAGGAGGAAUAGUAUGAACAAAAACAAAAUAAGAAAUUGAUUCUUGAACAGUAAGUGGGAACUCUGCAUAUUGUAGAAGGUCUUGAUCAUUAAGUGAGGAGAUUUAACUUUAUUUGGUUGGGAGUUACCAAAGAUUUUGGAGCAGGUAAAUUAUGGAAGAUUCAUUUUGAAGUCAUGCAUAAGAAAUGACAUGGAGGCAGAAAAAUCAGUUGGAAGACUCUGCAGUCCAGGAAAGAAAUCAUAGACAGCUGAAUCAGGAUGAUGGUAACGGAAAAAGAAAGGAAAAAAGGAAUGUAAGAGACAUACCUCAAGUAGACACUAUAGAACCUAACAACUGACUAAAUGUCCCGGCCCUCACGAGCUCCCCAGAGACAGAACCUGACUCUAAUGUCACUCUUCUGGACAAUAUCCCCAAAGAGUUUGAACCUGCUAGGAACCUGAUAUUAGGCCAGCAACAAGACUGUUAUUUCUGUGUUGGUGAUGUCUCUGUCCCCAGUCUGCUGGAAGAGAAUGGGCUGAAAUAUACUAAUUGGAAGAAGUGGAAAUUACAGGAACUUUGAAAUGGAGUAGAUAAAAAUGCAACCAGUGCUAAUCAAAAGCUAAGUAUUCUCCACUGGCAAGAUGACCACCUGGGGGUGUGAGUGACAGAAAGCCAGAGCAGUAGAGAGGGGCAUGAAGGACCAGGGCAAGGCCCAGAUGCCACUGCAGGGAGGGUGAGGUUUUCCAAGAGGUGGUUUUCUAGAGUGUUUGUGAUUAGUCAAUAAAUGUUUUUGGGUUUUCACCAUUUUGUUUACCAGAUGAAGGGCUGCCAGGGGAGCCCUGGGGCUCUGGGCCACAGUAAUGACUGCAGUUGAGAGAGUGACAAUUUACAUUUGUGUGGCACUCCCAGAGGACUCAGAGCUCAGGGAGGAGCGUCCUGACUGCAUUUUCAUGUUAGAUGAUCAGAUCUAAAUGAAGGAAAGGGAAAUGCACAGAAUGUGGAAGGGAGGCCUCUUGAUAAUGGGGAUGGGGAUGGCUGCUUCAAUUCUGAGCUUCUGGACAGGCUCCUCUGCAGGUUUGCACUCGGUUGCUUCAGCAGCAGCCUCAUUUGUGGCUUCCAACCUGAUUGCCCCCAUUUCUUACCUCGUAGGGAUCGCUCUGUCAAAAACUUUUCCCAGGACUUGAAUUAAGAUAAUUUUUUGAAGCAAGAAUUGUUCGUGUCCUAUCAAAAAAAAAAAAAAAAAAGGAAAAAUAACAAAAAGAGGAAAAAAAGAUAAUCUUUUCCUUGAGAUGGUACCCAUUUUCAGGAGAAAAAUAACGUAAGAACUAGCAAGCUCUAGCUAUCACAUGCAGGCCCUGAAAGACAGGAUGGGUCACAAGCGUAACACACUCCCACCUAGAAGUCACAAUGUUUUAGCAGUGACUCUGUAUUUACCUUUCCAUUAGCCUAAUUUGAGAUAGGCACAGAAUACUAUCUAGGGUCUGGGAUUUACCAUCCACAUUUCCGUAGGUUGUUGACUAUGUACCUUUACAUAGAACAAUGUGGCCAAAGAUAGAUGCCCAGAAGUAAAACCAGUGCUCCCUUUGUCUGUCUUGGACACCCCGCUGCCUCAGGAGUUCCCCCAGGGAGUCUAUUAGUCUGGUGGAAAGAAGAGGAAGAAAUAUGCAUGGCUGAUAAAGCUUUUGAUCAGGCAAUUAAAGCCAGAAAUAUCAGCAUGGACAGAAGUUAGAAGAAAAUAAGUCUUAAAUUACAAAGAAACAUUAUGUUCAUCUAAUCUGGGCUUCCACCUGAUGCAGUCAUCUCUGUGCCGCGUGCAGCUCCUGCUUGAAUCCAUUUAUCCAAGGGAGUCACCACCUCCCAGGCAGCUCCUGCUGGUGGUUAAACCGUUCCUUCUUAGAUUAAGCCUACAUUUACUUCCUGAUAACUUUUACCCUUUGGAAUAAUAAGAGCAACUACAUUCCUUUUUUCUUCUACACCAUUUCUAUGCCUUUCUAACAGUUGAAAUCAGUCACUAGUCCCUAUAAAUAUUCUCAGACGAUGGGAAAGUCAGAAGGAAGAAAAUAGGUAGUACUGUCCUGAGUCAGUACACUCAAGGUUAAGGCAUUCCUUCCUCACCCCCAAGAGGAAAAGAAUUCUGGCCUCUCUGUCCUGAGGUUAUGUACCUGAUCAAACCUUUUAAGAGACACAAGUAGUGAAUUUAUAGUGCUACCAUUUGGACAAAAUAGUAUAAUUUCUUCUCUAUUCUUGUCAAACCUUUCAAGUAAAUGCUAUUUUAUGGGCUAGGUAUUGUGGUUCAUGCCUGUAAUUCUAGCACUUUGGGAGGCUAAGGUGGGAGGAUCACUUGAGGUCAGGAGUUUGAGAUUG